rnacentral:rRNA from 1 species
UACGGGGGGGGCAAGCGUUGUUCGGAUUUACUGGGCGUAAAGGGCGCGUAGGCGGCCAGCACAAGUCAGUUGUGAAAUCUCCGAGCUUAACUCGGAAAGGUCAACUGAUACUGUGCGGCUAGAGUGCAGAAGGGGCAACUGGAAUUCUUGGUGUAGCGGCGAAAUGCGUAGAUAUCAAGAGGAACACCUGCGGCGAAGGCGGGUUGCUGGGCUGACACUGACGCUGAGGCGCGAAAGCUAGGGGAGCGAACGGG